GGGUCUUACAUAAAUUCAAAUUAAUAGGGCCCUAGUACAAAAUUAGAAAUACAUAACCCCACAUUGGAAACCAGACUUGUCUGAAUGUAGCUGGCAUCCUCUUCAUGGGAAGUCGUGCAAGCUGUGGAAAACCCCUUCUUAAACCCACAGAAAACAGAGAGUGUGCAUUGUUCUGUUGGGGACUGCUUCUUGAAGAAGAAGACAAAAGAACAGAGCCUUCUCUUCUGAAAUUCUAAUGCUCUCUGUGAGUUAAAAGGGGUGGAUUCACAAUAUCCUUUUGAAUCCAAAUUUCUCAACUCUUGUCUUUCUCCCUUACCAAUUAGGGUUUUUUGUAUCACGCGGCCAUGGCAUUGCUACUACAUUCUCUCCAAAUGUGUCUUUUUCUUUCCUUAAGGCCAAGUAGAGAAGUAGGAUUAAAGCUUGCUCCAGAAGUUUUCACGUCUUCAACUGCAAAACCUGGUUGAAUUUACUGUUCCUUUUGUUUUCCUGGAACAUGUGAAAACCCUGAACUCGUAAGUACAUUGUUACUUAAGUAGGGAAUGAAGCCAUCGGUCCGCGAAGCAUAUCAAUCUCUGUAUUAUAUUGACAAUAUCCAUGCUGGGAUUCAUAGAGCAGAACAUUUCUUUUGCAUUUUAAAGCUACUUCAUUUUAUUUUUUUCUGAAUUUUAACCUAUAUAUUCAAAUUCGAUCAAGAAGCAAUGCUCAGUUAGUGUUUCAGUGUGUGAUCACUCCAAAAGGAUAAUUUGAUAUUUACAUUCAGCUUGCUUACUGUC